rnacentral:rRNA from 1 species
UACGUAGGGGGCUAGCGUUGUCCGGAUUUAUUGGGCGUAAAGAGCUCGUAGGCGGUUUGUCGCGUCUGCUGUGAAAUCCCGAGGCUCAACCUCGGGUCUGCAGUCGAUACGAGCAAACUAGAGUGUUGCAGGGGAGACUGGAAUUCCUGGUGUAGCGGUGAAAUGCGCAGAUAUCAGGAGGAACACCGGUGGCGAAGGCGGAUCUCUGGGCCUUACCUGACGCUGAGGCGCGAAAGCUAGGGGAGCAAACAGG